rnacentral:rRNA from 1 species
GUGGGGAAUAUUGGACAAUGGGGGGAACCCUGAUCCAGCCAUGCCGCGUGUGUGAAGAAGGCCUUUUGGUUGUAAAGCACUUUAAGCGAGGAGGAGGCUACUCUAGUUAAUACCUAGGGAUAGUGGACGUUACUCGCAGAAUAAGCACCGGCUAACUCUGUGCCAGCAGCCGCGGUAAUACAGAGGGUGCGAGCGUUAAUCGGAUUUACUGGGCGUAAAGCGUGCGUAGGCGGCUUUUUAAGUCGGAUGUGAAAUCCCUGAGCUUAACUUAGGAAUUGCAUUCGAUACUGGGAAGCUAGAGUAUGGGAGAGGAUGGUAGAAUUCCAGGUGUAGCGGUGAAAUGCGUAGAGAUCUGGAGGAAUACCGAUGGCGAAGGCAGCCAUCUGGCCUAAUACUGACGCUGAGGUACGAAAGCAUGGGGAGCAAACAGGAUUAGAAACCCCGGUAGUCC